rnacentral:rRNA from 1 species
GGGGUGCUCGAGUGGCGAACGGGUGAGUAACACGUGAUAACCUGCCCUUGACUUUGGGAUAACUUCAGGAAACUGGGGCUAAUACCGGAUAGGAGCUCCUGCUGCAUGGUGGGGGUUGGAAAGUUUCGGCGGUUGGGGAUGGACUCGCGGCUUAUCAGCUUGUUGGUGGGGUAGUGGCUUACCAAGGCUUUGACGGGUAGCCGGCCUGAGAGGGUGACCGGCCACAUUGGGACUGAGAUACGGCCCAG